UACGAAGGGGGCUAGCGUUGUUCGGAAUCACUGGGCGUAAAGCGCACGUAGGCGGCUUUGUAAGUUAGAGGUGAAAGCCCGGGGCUCAACUCCGGAAUUGCCUUUAAGACUGCAUCGCUAGAAUCAUGGAGAGGUGAGUGGAAUUCCGAGUGUAGAGGUGAAAUUCGUGAGAUAUUCGGAAGAACACCAGUGGCGAAGGCGACUCACUGGACAUGUAUUGACG
rnacentral:rRNA from 1 species